UUGAUUUGAGCCUGAAUCAGCCAGGGAACUGGAUCAUCUGAGGCACUUUGUACCUCUAAGUGGUGCUUUGUGUUCCCAUCUCUGCUCCUCCUUGGGAGAGGAGCACUGAGGGUUCCCCUUUGGGAACUUAAAAGCCAGAGCACCCCGUGCUGCAGGUAUGGCUGCACUCCAGGGGUUCUUGUUUAGGCCUGAACUUGUAUGGUAGUUAAGAACAGCUCUUGUCAAUGCCAAGGGAUGCAGGAGGAUUACAUUACUAGAUAUUAUCUCAGGGUUGCUGUAUUUAUACAUUUCAAUUACAAAAUCAGGAAGUGUUGCCAGCCAUCCUUUGGAUACAGCUGGCACAAACACACACACACAUGAAGACACACACACACGCAGAGACAGAGAGAAAGAAACAAAAAUAAUCCCAUACUGUAAGCCUGCUUGAUUUUUUUGAUUACUUAAGGAAUUGUGGAAAUCUGAUUCUUGCAACCUUGGUGAUGCUGUGCUGCUGGGGAAACUGGGCUUUGUUUGGCAGCAUCUGCCACUGCUGGGGGAGGCAGGAGCACAGGAUUCCACAGCUGCUCGGGAAAGGUGGAUCCCAGCUCCAGACUCACUCACCUAACACAGCAGAAAAGCUGUAUCUGAAUCCCAGGUUUGGGAUUGCUCAUUGUUUGCUGUAGUAUCUCUGCACCUCUGAUUUAUUUUGUGAGCAACAAAGGCAGGGGGGACUCAAACCACAACAGCAGAUCCUGUAUGAGGUAGCGUAGGUGAGAAACAGCCAGGAGUAAUUCCCCAGGUCAGGUAUCCUGUAUUUGCUGAGCAAAAGCAGCUGAUGUGGCAGGAGGACAAACCUUGCACAUUCAACUCCGGGACAGACAAAACCUCCUGCAAACCAAAGGCUGCAAUUUGAGAAGCCUCUCCUCUCUCUAUUUUUAAUGCCUUUAUUGAUAGUUGUGUGCGCAGACCCCACAUCCUGGCAGGUCAGCAGCUCCUCAGCCGCAAAGCCCAGCUCUGGCCCAGGCCUCCCUCCUGCCGCUGUCCCUCGGCCCCUUCCCGCCCCCGUGUCCGCACACGGAAAUCACUGAGCACGGUCAGGCGGUCCCCUGACAAUUGGGGAUGUGGGAAAGCUCUUCCCGGGCGAGCAGCAGCCUUUCCAGGGCUCAGGCCAGGGAGGAAAGGCCGAUGCACCAGGGGAGAGCACUGGGAGGACAUUUCAGCUUCCCGGUGAAGGGAAAACGAGCUCUCCCCUGUGGGGUUUUCUCUGGAGGCUGGGAGAGCUACGCUUCGGAACUGGAGGAGAGGAGGAAAAAGAAGGAAAGAUAAUAAAAUAGCCAGCUGGAGGGAUGUAACCUUAAUUUGCACAUUAGCACACUGAUGGCAUGGACUGCUGUGGAAUGGAAGGUGCUGGGAAACACCAGGAAAGAAAAGCUUCAAUAUCAAGUGAUCUUGGACAGCAAAAUGUAGUGUGCCCAACACAGAGAGAGACAAAUAUCUAAGGAACAAGGGCAUAGCUAAACUAUCCCUUAAGGAUUUCUGCUGGAAAGAAGCAGGGCCUGGGAGGCCUAAUGGUCUGAAGUAGAUAUCAGCAAAGUAUUCUUCAUUUCUACCUGUGGAUGUGACACAGAACCCCUUCCUAGCUUUGGCUACGGCUUGCACCGAGAGCGCAUUCAAUUGUCUGAAAAUGGGGUUAUGAAGUGACUAUUCGUGUCUACAAUAUUGUUUCACAACAGAAAAAAUACUAAAAUGCCUUCCUGUGACAGCAAAUGUCUGCCAGCUCUGAGAUGUGUUCCUAAAUGUUAAUGUCAUACUGUCAGGCCAUGUUUUUUCUCAUGAUUGUGUUCAAAGUCUCUUUGUCUCCCUGGUUUCUAGGAGAAUUUCUGCAGUAUUAGGAAUGAAUUAACUCUGAAUAUCAGAAUAUAUAACUCUGAAUAUGUCCACAAUGCAUGGGUUUCCUUAGUGUGAAAAUAUUUUGCAUCCUUGCAGAAAUAGUUUCAGCACUUCUGUGAGGGAUAUAGUCUUCAAAGCACAACCAGCACUUGUAAUCACACCACCACAAUUCAGAAAAAUAAAUGAGGGGUCUAAGACAUGAUAUGAGAUCUUUUUAGUAAUGGAAUUUUUAUUUUUAACUUUCUGAGUGUGCACAUUAUAGUUCUCAUUCUUACUUCUCUCAUGGGUGGUGGAAAAACCUACAGCUGUUUAGUUUUAUAAUAUCACAGAAAAUAGCCCAGAUUUCUGCUCUGCCUCACUUGAAGUCUCUCUUUUACGAUGUUUUGUGUUGUUUGUUCUCAGAGAAGAGAGCUUGCCAUUUGAUAUUAACAUUAACAGAAAAGUCCUGAACCAAAUAAGCUCUUAGAGCUCAGGGGGAACAUCUCCAAAUUUUUCUGCUGUCUAGAUGGACUAAUCACACACUGCAAAAACAGUGAAAAAGCCAGGGAACUGGAAAUUAUAUCUUCAGGGCUAGUUAUUUUUAAUCAUGUUUCAAUCCACUUUUUAAAAUUUUUCUCCUUUUUUGGGUUUUACUGUUUAAACAACAACAACAAAGUAUUUCCUUUUUCUUUUCUGUAUAGGGAGCCAUAAAAAAUACAGAUUAUAUGGAAUAGCCAAAGUUGGGGUAGAAGGGAAGUUCAUCACAUUAUAGGACUGAAUCCUAAAUACCACCAGGAUUUCUGACAACACAUAAAAUAAAGAAAAGCCUGCAAUAACUAAACUUCCUUUUUUGAAUGGGUGCCUGGUGCUGGAAGGUACCAUUGACAAGAAAGGCAUCUGAGGACACUUAGCAGCAGCCAGGUUUUGGGAAAACCUUUGUGUGCAACAUGGAGCCCAUUGCAGGUCCAAGUGUAUCCACCCUACUGGAGUGAGUCUCGUGUAGGUUCCAAUUUUCCAUUGGAUGGAAAAGCACUGUACUGGAGUUGAAACACUUCAUUUUUAAUAGCUAGGGAAGUAACACAGUGGCUGGGUAAUAAGUCCUAUCACAGACGUACAUCCCUGGAAAAAUCCACUCUAUUUUUACUAGGAGACCCUCCGCCAUCAAGUUGCUGUCUGACCCAAGUUUCUUAUUUUUCCUUGCAAGGAAAGUGAGAAUACUGUCCUUUUUGGGAUCAUUGUUCAUUUAUUUCAGCAAUAUGUACUAUGACGAGUAUUAAUAAGCUUGUCUCCAACUGACAAAAAAAUUUACUUAUUUAGUUUUUAUCAGUGAAAUAUGGCCAGUCAUACAAAAAUUUACUUCUCUGGCAUACUCUCCACUUACCAUAAUGAGGAAGUGUAUCUCAAGAAAUAUAUGGUUAGAAAUAAUGCUUUUAUGUUUUCUAUAUUUUGUUAUUUUUGCCUCAAAUCACAGCUCAGUUCAGUGUGAUCUGACAUGGCUGAAAUACUGAAACCCCCACUCCUCCAAAGCAGUGUUUAUUAUAGAAACCACAAACUUAACCUAACCUAGAGCAGCUUUUCCAGCAGUGAUAUAAUUACAGUAGUUAUUGUUGCAAUAAACCAGAUGUUCCUGAGCUGGAAUGAAAGCACUUCCCCCCCACAUUACAUUUGUUAUGUUACCUCUUUUCAAGUUUCACAUCAGCUGUUCGGAAAGCACUCUCUCCGUUGAGUGUCACUUACAGAUUCUUGCUGGGUGAGUCUUUUAGAGCAAAAGAAUGAAAUGCUGGCCAGGCUCUGAAUUUUCACUGUUCUCCUUAAAGCCUCCAGCAUGACACUUUUCAGUGUCACUAAUUCUUGCCCUGGUUUAAAGAUUUUUUUUUUUGUCCUUUAAGACACUUGGCUGAAAAAAACAAAAAUCCCAACAUUUUGUAAAACCUGCUUAUUGAAUGAGAACAUUGUUCUGUGUGAACGGGAGUGUUCCACUCCUACAAAAUCAAUGGAGUUUGGCACAGACUUCAGUGGAGCCACCAUUUUAGUCACUAUUUUGAGCAAUUUAGUUAUUAGGCAACAUCUUUUGAACUGCUUUGUCAGCUGUGGUUGCAACUCCGGACCAUGAACAACCGUUCAACCUGAACCACAAAUAUCCAGCAUUGCUCCAACAUUACACAUCUUGUGUUUUUUUACAAUGUGUUAGUCAACACAUUUCUAAUAUUUCCCAGCCCAAUCAAGUCCUAACUGCAAAAAUGUGUUGCCAAUAAAGAAUUGGACUGUGUUUAAACUGCUAGGAUCUUAGACAUGAAAGUUGUUGUAUAUAUUUCAUGUGUGCAAGAAACCUGUCUAGGAACAACCACCACGAAGAGUCAAGAAGUCAGGAGAUUGCUUUAUUGCACUUACAGAGCCAUAUAAUAAUACAAUAAAGAAGCACAAACUAGGCUUGGGGUUUUGUUUACUCAUAGGUGAGUUCUCAUGAAAAUACAGGAACGGUAAGAAUUAAUUAUCUUAUCAACUAUCUGAACAAGUCACGGCAAUCCUGGAAGAAACCUUUGUAAUGCUCAGGUACACGUGCUGCUCUUUUUUCUGCUCACUCGUGGUAAACUAUUAGUCAACCCAUCCCCGUGGCAACUGCAGUGUGAUGAGGGAGGAAUUCACCUCGUGGUCUGCUAAAUUUACACUUUGUAAAAAUGUAAAUGUUUCUUAUAGAAGGAAUUUACAUGGCUCUGAAACACAGUCCAACUUUUCACUGAUGUGGUAGGGGAUGCAGACUAUGUUGGCCUGGUUUUACAAAAAUCUUUGAAAAUGGGCCAUAAAAUAGCUGAGGAAACCCAAGAGGCACCCACACGUUUGGAAGCAGAUUAUAAGAGAGCUCUGCUUCUCAGCCACAAUCAGCUCCCUGCUUUCAAAAGACAUGGUAUCAAAUUCACAUUUUUUGCUCUCCUACAGGGAACGUGUCAGAGCUGAAAUAAAUAAAUAAGCAGGGCCCAUGUCCAGGGAACCUUGACGUCUUUCCCAUCACCGAGGCCGGGAGGCCCCUGUGCUUCCUCCCCUGGCUGUGACAUGCCCGGCAAAUAUUUCCACCACCCACACUUGAUUCAUUCUUAACUCUCCUCACCCACUCAUCAUUACAGCUGUGCAAAGCAUCCAUUACAAACCCUGGAGCCAUUCAAAACCUACCUUUGUAACUUCGCUCUGUGCUUCACACCCAGCGGGGAUUGGUUGGACUUUUGGCUGGACUAGCUCUUUGAGACAAUCAGCCCCCAGUUUCAUGCAAAUCUGGGCCCAGGUUAAGGUGAAUGAUUUAUGGGUUGCAUAGUUGGAAAAUUGCUGAGAGGGUUUCACAUCACCUCACUGUGUAGAUCUCGGUCAAUAUUCAUGGAAAUUGAAAAAGAUGUGUGCAUAGUACACUGCAAAAGGGAAUAAUAAUAAUAGUGGUCAAAUCCCAAAUGAGCUCUGUGCAUUGUAAACAAUUCCUGGUCUGAAGGACCUGAGUGGGGGGGAAAGGAAAAAAAAAUCUUUUUAAGUCUUUAACACUUUACUGCUUCAAAGUGUAAGUCACUCAUAAAUUUUUUAUGACAUUCCUUUAUUUAGCACAUAUGCAUGCCACUAGUGGUUCAAUUAGACAGGAACUCUGCAAGGAGUUGCUGUAACGAUGCUCUCUGUCAGGAAGGAGAGGGAAACCCAGACUCCAAAAUUCAGAUGGAAAAUUAGAUAUUUCUGUAGUCAAGAUGAGAGAUUUAUUUGGUUGGUGGCAAAAGUUCAUGUCUGCAAAGUUUGAAUUUGGGUGCUCAGUUAGCAAAAUGAAGCAGUUAAAGGGAAUCUAGAUUAUGCCAAGUGACAUCUCAGUCUGUCACCUUUCAGAACUGUGGGGCAAUCCGCUUUAAAGCCACGGGCAGAAAUUACAGAUAAGCAAGUUUUUUUAAAUAAAAAUCAGUUUGAAGGCCAGGAUUCAAUUUAGGAGGCUCUGUGGCUUUUUAGACAGGAUCGAAAAAACUAAUUUCACAUCUUAAUGUUUAAAGAAAGCCCAGACCACUCAAGGCAGAAGUGCCAAACAUGCAAAACAUCUUAUAACAAAAGAACUUUCUUGGUUUCUGUUCGCAGCAUGACAUCUUUUUGUUUGCAUAAGAAUCCUUUUCUGUCAUGAGUGAGACGAUGCAGAAGAUUGUGACCACCUUACCAGGUCCCAACUGUGGAACACUCCUUCCUGCUGAUACUAAAAUGUUCAUUUCAGUGAGAGCCAGAGGGACAGCUUUUAGUGUGUGGCCAGUGUUACUUUGUCCUGUGGUGACUUCAGUUAUUUUCUGAAAUCCUGUGAUGCACACCUUUAUCAAAAUGUCUUCAAGACAAGCAGAUUAAAGGUAUAAAUUUCUAUAAUAAUUUUGUAUAAAUCACAAAAAAAAAAGGCUUGAGGUGGAGUUACAUUGUACUUAAGGUCAUGUUAAGUAAAGCAGUCAUGGGGCUCACCUGAGCAGGGGGAGAUCUACAGAGCAAGCGUCUGAACAGGCGACCACGGUGUGAGGCACUGUUGGCUCUCAGUUCCCCCAGAUGUCUGGGAGAGGUAAGGUGAAUCACAACCUACAGGUUUCUCUUUUUUCCCAUUAUCUCCACAGGGAAGGGGAGUGACCGAGUUCGGAGUGUAUCUCGCUCCAUGUUAGGUGAGGAGAGCUCCGUUCCCAGUGUCUGGUGAGUCCACACAAGGUGGAAUUUGGUGGAUGAGGAAGGGAGAGAGGACAAACAUUGUGGAGGUCAGUGCUUUAUCCUGCUCUGCUGAAAGCAGAAUUCCUGCCUUGGUCAAGAAUUAUCGAGUAAAAAUUAUAUGUAAAGUUCAUCAUGGAAACAUUAAAAAAUGACAGAAUCAGCGGCGGUUCUCUGUGAAGAAAUAAGCCACAAAAACAACACGUGGGCAGCCCUGGAUUGCAACACCAGAACCCCAAAGUGCAUUUAUAACAGCCUUUAGUCACCACCUUCACCGUGUCCAUUUGUCCUGGCUUGCAGAAGUGCUGAGCAGCCUCAUCCCACAUCAGCAUCAACGCCUUGAGGACUGAUACCCGGGGGAGAUAAAAUAUGGCACGUUAAUGUUUCCUAUCUCACACGCGUGGAUGGCUGUGAAUCAGGGAAAACAAUUGCUAUCAAAUAAAUGAUGUGAGACUAGAAAAGUGAUAACAUAAUGCUUGAUUUGAGAGUAAAACCCCUUUGGAUUCACUUCAGCAAAAGAGUGGUGCCACUAACAGCACCAUUCUGAGGAGUCAGUUGGCAUUUCCACCGAUAAUCUUGAUUCUUGGGAUUGGUAUCUGUCAUUUCAACUCAGGCUGAGUUGUUACUUAGUAUGAAAAAGAAAAAGAAAUUGCUGAAAUUAUAGGAUUUCUCCCUCCCCCCUCUCUGCAUCACAACAAAACAAGAUUUACUUUUUAUGAGCUAUUUGCCAAACCUCACACCAUAAACAUCUUCCUUUUAAAUGGAUGGAUAAAGAAAAGGAAGACAAAUGAGAUAAGUUCAAUAAUUAAGAGAUUUGCUCCACAUAGACAGUCCUUCCUUUCCAUAAGUUGCUAUUUUUUACUUGCUAAAAAAUGUUACAAAUUGCAUUUAAUAUCAUGAGGGAAAAAAUGCAGGCAAUUAGUAGCGAAUGUUCCGGUAAACGUAUCUGUUGCAAGAAGAGGUGUCAUAAAAAAAUUAUAGAACUGAGAUUUACUGCCACUGAAGUCAGCAACAGCAUUUCCAUUGCCUCCAGCUGGAGGAGGACUUGGUUCCUAGGAAGUUCACUCCAAAGAUGAUUAUCUUUAUAUCAGCAAGUCUAGGAGUGAGGGCUCCAUGGCCUUCAAGGUGAAUGCUAGAGGGAAUAAAGGGCUGUAAAUCCCUGCUUCAGCAAUGAUAAGGAUGCUGGCCCCAGCUGAAAUAUACAGAAAUUAAGUACAGUUAUAUGAGUUUGAAAAUCUGACCAAAAAUCUCUGAGUAACCACAUCUGCAGUCCUACCACAGGUAAAUCUUCCAGAGCUCUUGUUACAACUGUGACUUAAAUAAGCAGUCUGGGGCCUGUCUGAGUGUUUGUUAUCAGAUUGUUCAAAUAUUUCACUUACAUUUAUUAACUAAAGAAGGUCUCAGACCCUUUGUUCCAGCUGUAUACAGAAUUUACCAAAUUCACUGUUCACAGUCUACACAGUAGAGGUUGAAUUGUCUGGGAAUUUUCAAAUAAUCUUGUUCAGACAGUGACUUUCAAUUAAUACAAAAAUGGACCUGUAAGGGCUUCCUUAAACUGUCUCAUUUUUGGCCUAAAAAAUAACCAGACUUUCACAAUUCUGUAAUGGCUAGAGGUAGUGACAAGGUAUUCUGGCCCUGCUUUCCAGGAACACAGGCAAGCAAAUCUCUUGAUUCCACUUUCUUGUGUGCUUAUUCCAUUUUUGGUUACUUGAGAUGACUACAAUUGUGUACAGCUUUGAACAGGCCUGAAUUCACAGCUGCCCACUUUUGAACCACUGCUAAAUCACAUUUCCUCUCUCAUGGAAGGGGAGGUUUCCUUGGUCCUAUUCCCCAAGAAAGCUUGGGGGACCGAAAUCCCUCUGUCCAGGCUGCUCCCGGCACAGCUCCUGCAGGCUGCCCACCUUCCUCCCAGCCUCUUCUGAGCCCCAUCUCUGCUGCUCAGCCUGCUCUGUCUUUUUUCCACAUGCAUCCCUGCCCAAAACAAACUCUGCAAGGUUCCCCACCCAGAUCUUUGGAAUUCCUGGGCAACCUUACAUAUGCCUUUGUUUUGGGCAGGAACAUGUGCUGAACUGUCUCCUCCAGCGCCGCCGAAGAGAAGGGCGGUGGUUAAACCUACCAUUUUCAACAGGGCUUAACCCAGCCUGUAACAAAACCCUCGGUGAAGGUGCAAUUUCACAACCCCCUCUGUGUGUGUGGGUGCUGUGUGGGAAGGAAUUUGCAGAGAAAUGGCCAUUUUCUCCAAAUUUCCUGCUGGAGAGGAGCAACAAAUCAGGACGAGGUUCAGCUAAGAGCUGUGUGUAGGAAAAAGGUUUAAUUCUUAGCAUUUGGUUGCCCUUAUGGUUUGUACUUCAGAUGUACAGGCAGUUCCAGCUCCUUAGUUCUGAGCUAACCUGACCUGAGCACCAGUUUGGGAGCCAGGGAGGCCACACUCGGUGUGCAGUUGGGUUAUACCUUGCCCAAAUCACAAGCCAAAGCUCUGCCUUCAUGACACUGUGGAAUUCAGGGUGGUUGAAUCACCCUUGGUGGGGAGCCUCUUGACUGAGGCUUUGCCCCAAGAGCUUCAGUAAUGCGGAAAGCACUGCCACGUCUGUCAAUCCCAAAUAAUGCUGCUGUGGAUGGCCUUCAUAAGACAGGGGUUUGUACCCUGGGAAAACUCAUCCAUAGGAUGUUCUGUUUUCCCCAGGUGGCAAGGAGGUGUUCUCCAAAGCAGUGUUGUAGCCAUUGGCAAUGGAAUGGGCAGGAAGUGUUCCAUAACUUGGCAUCUUCUAAAAGACAGCAUUUGUGUUAAGGUGGGUUAUCACACAUAACCAGCCUUAAUCCCUUUUAAAUGAAGACUCUGUUUAUGGCACAUCAAGGUCAGGACUGUAAAUCCUGGAACAAAUCACCAGGUAUAAUGAAAAGGAAUAAUGCCAAUUAUAUUCUCCAGCCAUUUUUAGUACUUGAAAUGUGGUCUCUGUACUCCUUGGACUUCUCUCAGGGAAGUACAGAUGGUAUCUUUGUGAGUUAAUAGUAACCUGCUUAUUACAGUUUUUACCACUAGCUUGAAAUUCAUGCCAUUAUUAAACAUGGUAUAUGGCAUAACAAACCAGGUAAUUCUUUACCAUCUGAUAUACCAUCUGAUAUCUUUUGGUUUUUCAGUGACAUGUUCAACAGAGCUCUGGAAGUAUUUCCAAAGAAAUCUCCAACCUUUAUUUACCCUUUGUAGGUCAUUUCACUUUGCUUUGCUCACACUCCUGUUGUGGUCAGUUUCUAUCAAUCAUUCCCAGUUUACUGAUGGGAAUUGCACAGGAAUGGGGGGCUUUCCAUACAUGCUGCAGAAAAUUUUGGAAACCAUAAUGUCUCUAAUCUUUAUCACAUAACUUUGCAAAAGAAAAUAAAUUCUGAGAGAUACUGAGUACUUCUCUCAGAUAGAGACAACAAAACAAAAUGUGGUGCAGAAGUAGCACGUGAUCCAAUUCCUUACAGGAAAUUGUAUACAAACCUUUCUGUUAAAAGGUAAUGUCUUUAUAUUAAAUUGAAUACUUUAGUUACUUAAAAAAUAUAACUAAGUUUAAAAAAAAUCUAGAAGUUUAAUGACAAGAAAAAGAGAAGAAAAGUCUGUGGCUUUACUACGUUUAACUGGGCUAUGUGUAUUCUCUCAGUACAGCCAAUUAUUGUAGUUAAACCAACAGUGCUUAACUAGAGAAAGUCUGCCUAGUUAAAGUGUUGGCUGUGUGACAGAACAUGCAUAAAGCACAGUAAAUAGUAUUACUAUGUGUAGAAAUGUUUAGUUCUCUCAGUUACAGAAGUUUAUCAAGUCCAGUAUAUAAACUUGGGCUGGAAAGAAAGAUAAAGAAACUUUGCAGGUAAGGAACAAUUUCCUGACAGGAUCCCAAGUUGUAUUAAUAAAUUGGGAUACUACUUUUUUAUAUUUUCCACUGAGGUGUAGGGGGGAAAAUAACAGAGUUGGUUUUUCCCUCAUUAUUUGGUGGUCCUUCCUUGAAACUUUCCAAACCAAAGCCAUUUCUCACAUCUGGUUGGAACAUAGAUCUUUAAGACAUUCAAGUAAUUCAAAUCAGAUGUAAAAAGCUAAGCUACACUGUAUGAAAUUCAAGAACAAUAUAGUUACAGGGUUAGAAAAGUCUGCAAUAUGGCACCUCUUUUAAUCAAUACCAGCCUCAGUUUCGGUUUGUCUGUAAAUACAAGACUAUAAUUAAGAAUGAUCUACUGCAUUAAUUAUUUCAAUACCCAGUGUAGCAAGUUACUAGAUUAGUGACACUUUGCAUUUACAAUAUCAUUAACAAUUUGUUUCCCCUAUGCUCUGGGUGAAGUCUACAGCAACAUGGCCUGAAUCAGAUUAUAGUUCCAAUGGGAAAUAUUGAUGAUCACUAAUAUCAAUAAGCACUUCCUUACCCCUGCCAUUUGGAGCUGCCUGUAUUGACUUUCGCCGCAUUCCAGCAGUUCCGCCUGUACCCAAACUGUAGUUAGUCGUUAAUUUCCAUUAACUAAGCCACCACUAAACAUAAUUUAAAUUAUUUCCAAUAAGUGCUCCAUUAAUGCCUGUUAUCUGCAUUUAAUUCCCAUUGAUUCCCAAAAGCUACCGUGGAGCUUAAUUGCCAGCCCAAGAAGAGCAGCUUCCCACAGGUGUCAUCGGGGCUGAUUUCUCCCCGGCUGCCAAGCGCUAGGAAGCAGUGCUACACGAGGCUGCCAUGCAAAUCAAUGGCUAAAAACCCAAACAGCUGCAGCUGGACUUGACCAGAAAAGAGAAUUUACCUCACCAACAAGCGCCUGCUCCUCUAGGAUACUGUUUCAGUUGGCCAAAAAAUAUUUUAAGGCUUUUUCUUAGAUUUAGCCUGUGAAAAUAAAAGCAACACAGUAUUCUGGCUCGUUCCACUUUGGUAAAAAAAUACCGUCUGAUAAACAGAAGUUCUAGACCCAGGGAAAAAUCAGUGCAAUAACUGUUUCAUCCUUUUCUGAUCCUUAUUAUAAUUUUGUCCAUACAAAUAUUUCUGACCAAAGGAAAAAAAUCCAAACCUUCACCUGUAGGAUUCUUUCUGGUAUUUUUUGGAUAGCGUAGGUUCUCAGCAACACUUUUAGCUCCUUGGGAUUGAUUACAUCACCUUUUAAAGAUAUCUUUUGGUAUUUAACAUACAAGUCAGUUACACUUAAACUCUCAAAAACUGCCAAUUCAAGAAAACAAAACAUCUGCCUAACAGUGAUGAGCUUGACUAAUGUUCCUUUUGAAGAGAAAAGCAAAAGAAUUGGCUUGCUGAAAAUUGAAUGUUACUGCAUUUUCAAAAUGACAUUUUCAAUUUUACAUUACAAAACAUUUCCCCCUAUUUUCCAUACUAUUUCAAGUUGACAUCUAAAUUAAAUAUUUAGUUUUUAUUCAAACAAAUCACUUGAUUGACCAACAAUUACUGUAUUCAUAAUCAUGCUUUGUAAUAGCUUUCUGGAUUGCUUUAUUGCUUUCAUUAGGAGUGGAAGUAAAACUCAACCAUAGGACAUUCCCUGAGAAGGAAAAAUUGGAUCUCACGGGGCUUUGGUUAGAGCAUUUUUUCAUUAGCUUCACUUUCUGAAGAUGUUCAGUGCAUUAUCCAAAAAGUCCCUCCAAGCUAGUCCUGUGCAAAAGUUGCCACACAUCCCACACUGUGCUAUGGUCAAACCUCAUAUCCAUUAUGAAAUCACAGCAGGAUAUGGCUUUUCCUAGAGUUUUGUUACAGCCUGCUGUUCUUUACCAGCUCGGCAUUCACACAGCAAAUGUAACACAUGUUCAUUAUCUGCCUUUGGGGCUGGACAGGCAUAACCACUGGAGGUGAGGCUCCCAACAUGAAAACCCAGUUGUACAGCCACUCCUCCAUCUGCACUGCCCACUGCAUUCCACAGGCUCUGCCCUGUCUUGGAUGGCUUCACUGCAGCCAGAUCUCAAGGCUGGGAGAGAGAGCAGAGCCCCCAGGCAGCCCUGAAAUGCAUCAAGGAGGGAUCCACUACCCCUGCAGAGCCCUGAUGUUGUCAAGAGCUGCUGGAAGGACCCGAACAAAGGAAAAGGGCAAGAAAAGAAGGAAUUCCGUUGGUUUGGGAGAACUUAUCUCCGGAGACGUUAUCUAUUAACUAUCUGCAAAGACGCAGGUAUCAGUGCUGAGAGACAUUAUCUGUACUUCCCUUUGGUUGCUUCCCUCUCCUGCCAGCCUUGCCCCUGUCUGGUCAGGGCUGAGCCUUUUAAUGUUUCUUGUAAAUCCUUUAUAAUAAACAGAACACAUAAAGCAAGAAAAGGUGUAUUUCUUUCUAGUCCUAGAGCUUUUUGUGUGUUUCAACCCAUAUUUCUUGGUGUCAACCUCUACAUAUGGCUGAAUCCCAACCUGCUUCCUUGGAGGACUGAGACCUUAUUGCUUUUGAGUGUCCCAGACAUUAUUACUGUUGUUGUUAUUGUUAUCAUUUUUAUUUCUGAUUUUUAAUUUAAAUUAUUAUUUAUUUGAUUACUGGAUUUCCCACAUCCUUUGCAAGCAGCGGAGAUGAGAUUUGUCUCUUUUUUCCUCUGACAGUCCUUGUACAGAAAGUGUGGGGAAGAGCAUAUUACAAAGAACAAAAUGAAAACAAAAUAUGAUGAAUAUUAAACUCUGCAUUUAUGAUUAUAUAACAUGCAUAGCAUCUCCUACUACUGCUUGGACCCCUUGAGCCUGUGAAAAACGCCAAUCACUUGUUUUUAAAUUUUUUUAAAGUUUAAUCAUAAUAAAAUGGUUAUAGCAAUAGUAAUAUAAUUAGACUAAUAAAAUUUGAACAAUUGAGAUUAGGACAAUAUGAGACAAUAAAAACAAAGAGAUACAGACGUCCG